CCAGGGGGGCGUGCCUAAUACAUGCAAGUCGAGCGGAUCUUCAUUAGCUUGCUUUUGAAGAUCAGCGGCGGACGGGUGAGUAACACGUGGGCAACCUGCCUGUAAGACUGGGAUAACUUCGGGAAACCGGAGCUAAUACCGGAUAAUCCUUUCCCUCACAUGAGGGAAAGCUGAAAGACGGUUUCGGCUGUCACUUACAGAUGGGCCCGCGGCGCAUUAGCUAGUUGGUGAGGUAACGGCUCACCAAGGCAACGAUGCGUAGCCGACCUGAGAGGGUGAUCGGCCACACUGGGACUGAGACACGGCCCAGACUCCUACGGGAGGCAGCAGUAGGGAAUCUUCCGCAAUGGACGAAAGUCUGACGGAGCAACGCCGCGUGAACGAUGAAGGCUUUCGGGUCGUAAAGUUCUGUUGUCAGGGAAGAACAAGUACCGGAGUAACUGCCGGUACCUUGACGGUACCUGACCAGAAAGCCACGGCUAACUACGUGCCAGCAGCCGCGGUAAU
rnacentral:rRNA from 1 species